rnacentral:tRNA from 1 species
CACUGUACAGCUACCCUAGCAUUAACCUUUUAAGUUAAAGAUUGAGGGGACGACACCCUCNUGCAGUGA